rnacentral:rRNA from 1 species
CGGGGUGCCCAGGCGCGAAAACUUUACAAUGCGGGAAACCGUGAUAGGGGAACUCCGAGUGCCCGUAAAAUCGGGCUGUCCAUUGGUUUAAAUAACCAGUGAAGAAAGGGCCGGGCAAGACCGGUGCCAGCCGCCGCGGUAAUACCGGCGGCUCGAGUGGUGGCCACUAUUACUGGGCUUAAAGCGUUCGUAGCUGGUUUGUUAAGUCUCUGGGGAAAUCUUCCGGCUUAACCGGAAGGCGUCUCAGGGAUACUGGCAGACUAGGGACCGGGAGAGGUGAGGGGUACUCCAGGGGUAGGAGUGAAAUCCUGUAAUCCUUGGGGGACCACCUGUGGCGAAGGCGCCUCACCAGAACGGCUCCGACAGUGAGGGACGAAAGCUGGGGGAGCAAACCGGAUUAGAUACCCGGGUAGUCCCAGCUGUAAACGAUGCGCGUUAGGUGUAUCGGUGACCACGAGUCACCGAGGUGCCGAAGAGAAAUCGUGAAACGUGCCGCCUGGGAAGUACGGUCGCAAGGCUGAAACUUAAAGGAAUUGGCGGGGGAGCAC